rnacentral:rRNA from 1 species
AUGGGUAGGGGAGCUUCCCAUACGGGUUGAAGCAUGACCGUAAGGACAUGUGGACAGUAUGGGAGUGAGAAUGUUGGCAUGAGUAGCGAGAUGUGGGUGAGAAUCCCACAGGCCGUAAACCCAAGGUUUCCAGGGGAAGGUUCGUCCGCCCUGGGUUAGUCGGGACCUAAGCUGAGGCCGAAAGGCGUAGGUGAUGGACAACAGGUUGAUAUUCCUGUACUACCGAUAACCGUUUGAGAGAAGGGAUGACACAGUAGGAUAAGCUAAGCACACUGUUGGUUAUGUGUGCCCAAGCAUUGAGGCAGUCAAAGUAGGCAAAUCCGCUUUGAUAAUGCUGGGAUGUGAUGGGGAGCGAAAUUUAGUAGCGAAGUAGCUGAUUUCACACUGUCAAGAAAAGUCUCUAUCGAGGUUAAAGGUACCCGUACCGCAAACCGACACAGGUG